rnacentral:rRNA from 1 species
CCCUUAGAUGUUCUGGGCUGCACGCGCGCUACACUGAUGCAUCCAACAAGUUUUUUCCUUGUUCGAGAGGACUAGGUAAUCUUUUGAGAAUGCAUCGUGAUGGGGAUAGAUUAUUGCAAUUAUUAAUCUUCAACGAGGAAUUCCUAGUAAGCGCGAGUCAUCAGCUCGUGCUGAUUACGUCCCUGCCCUUUGUACACACCGCCCGUCGCUCCUACCGAUUGAAUGGUCCGGUGAAGUGUUCGGAUCGCGCCGACGUGGGCGGUUCGCCGCCGGCGACGUCGCGAGAAGUCCACUGAACCUUAUCAUUUAGAGGAAGGAGAAGUCGUAACA